rnacentral:rRNA from 1 species
UACGUAGGGUGCAAGCGUUAAUCGGAAUUACUGGGCGUAAAGCGUGCGCAGGCGGCCUUGCAAGUCGGGCGUGAAAUCCCACGGCUCAACCGUGGAAGUGCACUCGAAACUGCUUGGCUAGAGUCUUGGAGAGGAAGGCGGAAUGCUUGGUGUAGAGGUGAAAUUCGUAGAUAUCAAGCGGAACACCGGUGGCGAAGGCGGCCUUCUGGGACAAUGACUGACGCUAAAAACACGAAAGCGUGGGGAGCAAACAGG